rnacentral:lncRNA from 1 species
CGCGGAACUCCCAGAAGUCUCCGGGGCGCGGCGAGUGGGAAAAGAGGGUUCCAGCGGCCGGGUCAUCGAACUCAGCCGAGGGUGAGUGCACUGCGCCUCCUAGCGUCCUGGCGGGCAGCCACUGCCUUCCGGGCCCUAGACUACUUUUCCCAGAGCCACCACGUACCGAUCUCAGCUUCAUUUCCGUUUCUUCGCGAGAGUUGGGGGGGGUUGGUGGGGAGCGGCUCCCAGCCUUGGGAGAGGGCCUUGUCUGUGGGGGAGCUUGCUCUGCACCUCUGGGCGGGCGACCCAGAAAUCGGGCUUAGAACCCGGGCGCCGCAUCCUGGACGUCUGAGGUGCACUCCUAUGAAGAGUCAAAAGAAGGAAAGAAUGACUGUCACACAUUCAAAAGCAAAGUUCAAGCUCUGCCUUUUCCACAUUCUGUGCUACUCUAAGAUAGGAACCCAGAAGAGGAAUGGUCAUUUCUUGCAGCUCUAAAAAAUGUCUCAGGUGACUUGGUACUUAUUUGUACCUUUAGUAACUUUUUUGUAUCUUUAGUUACUUUUUUAUAGGGCAUAUGUGUUUCAGCAUUCCUUAUUCCUGAAGCUAUAAUCUAACCUAUAUUUAUAUACCUAUUCAACAAUCCUUUGACUAGGAACACUAGGAAAACUGAUGUAACAGAACCAGAUUUCUCUAAUUUUAUAAGAUAGAGAAAUAUGUUAAAUGAUACCACCCAUGAUAAAUCCUUGAAUUUCUCUUUAGACCUAAGUCUCCCAGUUAGACAAAAUAGGAAUUGGUCUUGACUAUCUCUGAAUGUGACAAGAGCUCAUGCUUUAUAAGCUUUUUAAAUUAGUCACGUAAUUAGGGACUGAAUGGAAAGAAUACAUAAUUGAUGAGCUCUGAUAAUUGGAUCAUUUUUUUUUUUUAAAGAGAGAGUGAGAGAGAGGGGGACAGAGAGAGAGAAUUUUAACAUUUAUUUAUUUUUUCUUAGUUCUCGGCGGACACAACAUCUUUGUUGGUAUGUGGUGCUGAGGAUCGAACCCGGGCCGCACGCAUGCCAGGCGAGCGCGCUACCGCUUGAGCCACAUCCCCAGCCCAUAAUUGGAUCAUUUUGAAAUCCAACAUUAUAGUCUGAUCUCAGAUGUGUAUGUUUGGAUUAUCUUUUCCACCUUUCUCUGGGUUAUAAUGAGGAAAAGGUAAUCACACACAGUGGCACAUGCCUAUAAUCCAGCCAGCCACUAGGGAGACUGAAGAAGGAGGAUCAUAAGUUUAAGGCCAGCAUUGGCAAGUUAAUGAGACCAU